AGUGAACGCUGGCGGUAGGCCUAACACAUGCAAGUCGAACGGCAGCACAGUAAGAGCUUGCUCUUACGGGUGGCGAGUGGCGGACGGGUGAGGAAUACAUCGGAAUCUACUUUUUCGUGGGGGAUAACGUAGGGAAACUUACGCUAAUACCGCAUACGACCUACGGGUGAAAGCAGGGGAUCUUCGGACCUUGCGCGAUUGAAUGAGCCGAUGUCGGAUUAGCUAGUUGGCGGGGUAAAGGCCCACCAAGGCGACGAUCCGUAGCUGGUCUGAGAGGAUGAUCAGCCAAACUGGACCUGAGACACGGUCCAGCCUCCUACGGGAGGCAGCAGUGGGGAAUAUUGAACAAUGGGCGCAAGCCUGAUCCAGCCAACCCGGGUGGGUGAAGAAGGCCUUCGGUUUGUAAAGCCCUUUUGUUGGGAAAGAAAAGCAGCAGGUUAAUACCCCGCUGUUCUGACGGUACCAAAAGAAUAAGCACCGGCUAACUUCGU
rnacentral:rRNA from 1 species